CACGCCACGGGAAUACGGAGGGUGCAAGCGUUAAUCGGAAUUACUGGGCGUAAAGCGCACGCAGGCGGUCUGACAAGUCAGAUGUGAAAUCCCCGGGCUUAACCUGGGAACUGCAUUUGAAACUGUCAGGCUGGAGUCUUGUAGAGGGGGGUAGAAUUCCAGGUGUAGCGGUGAAAUGCGUAGAGAUCUGGAGGAAUACCGGUGGCGAAGGCGGCCCCCUGGACAAAGACUGACGCUCAGGUGCGAAAGCGUGGGGAGCAAACAGGAUUAGAUACCCGUGUAGUCCCUGUCUCUUAUACAC
rnacentral:rRNA from 1 species